AUCAAAAGGUAAGCGGCUUCGGUCAGAGGGUAUAAUCGAUUGAGUCCGGACAGGUCCUUCGAAGGGACAUCCAAUGGUUCGUGCGGAUCGUGGGUCAAAGUGAAAUUUUUACUUUAAUGAGGGUAUAUUCCUUUGUAAGAAAGAAGAUUUCUUCGCGGAAUCUUUUUUGAUUACAUCUUGUUCCACCCUCAGAAGAAUUCAAAGCAGUCGAAAAGGGAAAAUGGAGAUCAAUCCUAACGUUAACAGUGUUCUUGGAUAUCGAACUAAUGUUAAUUUGGAUAGCAUUUAGUUAGAAAGUUAUAUAUACCGUAAUAAUAUUUAUUUCAAUGCCAUGAGUGAGAUUAGGAACGGCAAAGAAAAUAUUAAGGCGAAUUAUUCCAAAAAAGAUUUGCGAAUCCAUGUCGAAGAUGAAGAAGAAGAAAAAGGUGAUACAGGGGAUGAAGAAGUCGAAGGGAGCGAUCGAUAAAGUUGAAGCAAAAGACCAUGUUGCAAUACGCAGAUAUCCAAAGUCGAUUAUACCAUAUGAUAAUUAAAAAGGGAAAAAUAUUCAUCGAGAAAUCAAUUUCCCCUUAAUCCAUGUCCCACUAGGCUCUUUCGGCUCGUUAGAUCGCGUAAUAGUAAAUUUUAAUCGACUUACAUAAAUCGUGUUCAAAUGAAAUACGUAAAAGAGAAAAAGAUAAUAUUACGAAAAAAAAAUUGUCUUCUCUGAAUACAAUCUUCAUUACAACGUCAUAAAAAAAGAGAGAUAUGUAAAAAAAGAGAGUGUUAACUUAAGUAAUAGAAGAAGAAUAGAAAAUAAUAUUACGAAAAAAAUUGUCAAACAAUAUUUUUUACUCAAAAUUAAUUUUUAUUGAUAUAUACUUUAACGUCAAGAACAGGAAGAAAUUUUCAAAAUUCUUUAGUUAACUUCUAAUUUCAGACUGUGAAAAGUAGGAACGAAAGAAGAACAUAGAAAAAAAGAAUAAUUAUUCAUCGAAUCAAUAAAUAUCAAUAGAGAAAUUCAUUUCCUCAGAGCUUAUGACCUUUUUGGUUCUUUCAAUCGUAUGAUAGGAAAUAUUGAUUAACCUACAUAAAACCCUGUGCAGAGGGUUCCCUCCUGGUCGUUAGGUAAACUACCCAAAGGGAUUUGUGGGGUAUGAAUUGCCUGUAAGAAUAUGGCGAUAAAGCUGUGCGUCAUUCCUUCGGAAUUUAUCGAACUAGAAAUACGUGAGCGAGUGUCGUACAAGAAAUAUUUGUUACGUGUGUACUUCAUACGUUCCAAAGGGUAGUUUUACAAGGAGUUCAAGCGGUGGAAACAAUUUCUUCGUUUUCACUAGUCUUGUGUUUCUGUUAUCAAUGUAAGAGAUAUACUAAAGGAAACGAAGGCGGAAGCAGGAAAAGUUCCAAUAGCUUGCAAGUAUUACAAAGGCCCGAGUUGAGGGAUAUUUGAAUUAUAAUUCCAAACAAGAUAUACGAAAUUUCACUACCUCGUGUUAAUGAAGUAUUCUAUAUCCGAAGUGAAACAUAUUUACUUUGGCCUGUUCUUCCUUAUAUCCGGCGAUAACUCCUACAUGGAUAGUACAAAUGCAAUCAAUCAGAUUAUGAUAUGAAAACGUUUUUCUGUUUCUUCUUAUAUUUCAGUGGAAAAUCAGUCAAUGGUUUGUUUAUCGAAUUUUAGAGAUAAGAUUUUAUGAUAGCGACGAGAAUAUUUCUAUUAAUGAGUUGGACAUUAAGUCUCUUAACUCUAGCUGGCAUAUAUGUAUUAUAUUAAUGUGUAUAAUUCAAGAACCCAUAUAUUUUUCACCUUUGUAAAGAAGAAUAUUUGAUAUGGGAAGCAAGAUGUUCGAUGAAAGAGAGGAGAUCGUAAAAGGGGCGGAGGUAGCUGACGCUGCUCACGAAUUUAUUAAAAAACUUGUAAACGAUAUGGAACUCAAGUUGAUGAGAGAGGCACCAUAUUAUCCGACGUAUAGAAGUAAACAUGUUGCUACUGGUAGAGCAUUACUCUAGCAACCAUCGACAUCAAUAUUGAAUUUUAAUAAACGAGAGUGCAUUGGAUCGUGUAAUUAGAAGAGCGGUUCAAGAUGCAGAUAGAAUUUUAACCAAGGAAGGAACAUCGUUAGCGAUAGUUCAUGUAUGCAUUAUGUGAUUGGGAAUACCUAGGAAGAGGAAAAAGAAGAAAAAACAUUUGUGCUUUACGACGAAGUUUGGAAAGACCAUUAGGGCGUUAGUUUAAAAAGCGUCGGAAGGUAGUACGAGGAAAUGGGAGGGAUUUACUUCUUCCAAAGGAUCCAAACGUAAGCGGCUUUAGUUGGAGGGUAUACGCGAUUGUACGUAGAAUGAUUUUUUAAGGGAUCGUACGAUGUUCCAUGCGGGUCAUGGAUCGAAGGGGAAUGGAAAUGAAACUGAGGGAGGUUUAUCAUACAAAAUAAUUUAACAUACAGGGACGAUUAAAAGAUUCAAAAUUUUUGGAAAUAAUAACGAUAGCAGGAGUAUACUUUUAAAUUAUACGUGAAAUAAAAAGUCCACGUUCGCAUCAUCGUUAUUCCAUCGAUAUAAAUUAAGUAACAGUUCGCUAUAAUUAAAAAAGGAGAAAUGUUGAAUCCCAUGUUUCAAAUUGUUUGUCAUCAUAUUCACGACAUGUAGUUAAAAAAUAUUCGUAAUAUAAAACGGUGAGAUGAACGUACCCUGAAUAUUUACCGCAAAAUUUAAGUCUCCCGAGCUAACAGCACAAUUUCAAUAGGAAACUUCAGUGAAACACGGAUUUUCCAAACAGUAGCAGUGCAAACACUCGAUCCGCCCAAAUCACUCUCUAACUGUGUGGUUCUCUCGAAGAGGAAAUACGUGAAACAGAGGAUGGUGAGAUGAGGAAAUAAAGAAAUAUGACAAGAGAUUUUCUCCGAAUACAUUUUUUCUAUUAUCGUGCAAUAAUGGAAAUGAAUUCUAGGAUAACUUAAGCAAUAUAUAUUUGUUUACGAGAUAAGAAAGUGAUAUUUGAAGAAAAUGUUUUUAAGGAAUAUUGAAGUAGAUGUAACUUCCUACGAAAAAAUGUUUUAACAACAAAAUAUUUUAUAAUAAGAAUUAUAUAGUAUGAAAAUUGUAAUACCCGUAAUAUGAAAUAAUAUUAGAACACUAUUUUUAAGUAUGACUUAAACUUACGAAAGAAGAAACAUUACAUAUUUCGUAUAUGAUAUUACGAUUACUUUCUAGAAAUUAACGUUGAUAAUUACAAUAAUUAUUAUUUUUGAUGUUAUUAUUAAAAUAAUUUGAAAUUAUUAAUACAAAAAUCAUUAAUAAUAAUUACUUAUAUUAUAUAUAAUUACAGUUUUACUUGCAUAUUGCAAUUAAAAAAGAGAAAAGUAACUAUCAAUUUCGUUAGAAGAUUCCAAGUUUUAUGAAAUAAUUUUUCAAGUGCAUAAAGGAAAUAAAAAUAUAACAACAUAGUUACAGGAGAGGGGAAAUUUUUCAUCCCCAAACUAGAAAAUUAAAAUCUAGGAAUCUUGGUCUUCUAACGAGAUGACGUGGGAUUAAUUUAACCAGGGGAAGUCAUUCCUUCCGUGAUUUUCGACCCAGUAAUACGCAAGUGUGUGUCAUACGCGAAAUAAUCCCUUGCUGUCAUAAGUGGCAAACAACAGCAUUACAAAUAAUAGCAACGAUUGAAACACCUUUAUCACUAAUCAUUCUAUUAUUCCAUUAAUAUUCUUUAAAUUUAGCAUUACAUUUGUAUAAGAUUUAUUAGAAAAUACCAUUUCCAUAUUAUAGAAGUUACCGGAUAAUUACUCCAAUUUGGGAUUCAUACCAUUUAGAAUAUUUGAGAUAAAUUCACUUAUAAAUAAUAAUACUUUCUUCGGCUGCAUAUAAUCUACGAAAAUAUUCAAUAAAUUAUUAUAAGGUAUAUAGAUACGAUAUAGAUUGUAUAGUCCACAUUACAUUUUAGAAUGAAAAAUUUAUCUUAUGUCUAAAAUAUCUUACCAUUCAAUAAACACAGCAUUGAUUGAUUUUCCAUUUAAACAUAAAUGUAAAAAGGAAAAAGUUUCCAUAUAUUAAUCUCGUUGAUGGUCUGGCUUGAUUUGUACCAUCCAUAUAGGACUUAUAGUCGGAUGUACGGAAGAACAGAAAGUGUCAAUGAAAAUGUGUUUCACUUUGGAUGUGCAAUGUUAUAUUAUCUGGUGGAGCGAAGUAGAACUUUUUGUAUCUUCUUUCGAAUUACAAUUCAAAUAUAAGUCAAUUUGGCUCCUUUGCAAUACAUCCAGGCUAUUGGAACUGCUUUCGUCUUCCGUUGGUUUAGUAUAUCCCUGAAACAAUGUAAGAUUCGUAGAUUAGUUAAGAGUUACGGAAGCCGUUGAAUUGUACAUCUAAUUGUACUGUCCUCAAAAAUAUAUUUUGUUUCAUGCUUUUAAGCGAUAUAAAGUACCUUUUCCGAAAUGAAAACAACAAUAAUUUAGAUAGCAUUGAUCACGAAAAUCAGUUUUAUUUCCAUAAUGUAAACUUGAAAUUUUAUAAUAAAUCACACACUAAUGACUACUAACAGAUUUAGCUUAUAUUGAUAGUUGAAACAAAUGACUAGGAAGAAUGAAGAAAGUGCUUCAACUACCUGAAUACUUAUAUAACUGAUCUCUGAGACGUAUGAAGUAUGCACGAACGAAUAUUUGUUGUACCACACUCGCUCGCGUAUUACUAGUUCAACAAUCACCGAAGGAAUGACCUGCAGCAUCAUCGCCGUCCUCCGAACGACGGUAUUUAUACCCCGCACAACGCUUUGGAUUCUUAACCCAGCGAACACGAUAGCGCCCUUUGCACAGGGUUAUUACACUUGACGUAGAUUAAUCAAUAUAUAGAAAGAACCAAGAUGCUCAUAAGUUACGAGGAAAUGAAUUUCUCUAUUGAUCUCUAUUAAUUGGAUGUAUCAUUAUUCUUCUUCUUGCUCUUCUAUGUUCUUCUGUCGUCUCUUUUUUCCCUUCCUUUUCUUUACAAUUUGAAAUUAGAAAUUAAUUAAAGAAUUCCGAAAAUUGUCAAAUUUGUUUUUUCUUGUUUUUUUCGUUAAAAGUAUUUACGAAUGAGAAUUAAUUUGGUGCAAAUAAUACUGUUUGACAAUUUUUUUUUGGUAUACCACUUUCUGUUCUUUGUCGAUUACUUAAUAUAACAAUCUCUUUUUUACACAUCUGUCUUUUUUUAAAACGCAUUAGUAAAGAAUAUGGAUUAAUACAAAAUCAUUCGUCACUUUUUUCCCCUAAUAUCAUCUUUAUCUCUUUUACGUAUUUUAUUUCGACACCAUUUACGUAAGUCAAUCAGAAUUUCCUAUUACGCGAUUGAACAAAGCGGAAAGACUUCAUUUGAUAUGGAUUGUGGGGAAAUGAAUUUCUUUAUGAAUAUAGAUUUAUCGACAGGUAGAUUUAUUGAACAGUCUACAUAGAGACUUGAAAUGAACCUGAGGAUGGUAUAUUUUACUUAUUAUAAUUAUUAUACUUAUUAAUAUUAUUAUUAUUAUACUUAUUAUUAUUGUAUCUAUUAUUAUAUCAAAAUAUAAGUUAUAAAUGUUGUAGAAA